rnacentral:antisense_RNA from 1 species
CAGGGCCUCCUUCCACCUGUCCAUGCACAUCUGGCCCUUUGGAAACAUGUAAUCCCAUCAACUGGGUGGACCAAUCUUAUCUUGCCAGGAGUAACUAAUUGUGGGUAUCAGUCCACAGGAGGACUGCCUUUCAGCUAUGCUUUACAACUUGCAAGAGUGGCCAAUCUUUGCAAAAGCACUUUCACUCAACCCAAUUAUUGCUUAUUUAGAAUCCAACAUCAUGAUCUACCCAAACAAGUGGCCCGUUCUCCCUUUCUUGGUUAAACGGAUGAAGAAAUAAAAAUGCCAUUUUCAUUUGUAAA